GCAAUGGCAAGUGAUCUAUAAAGGAUUUAAAAAACCUAUGACAAAGGAACAGCUUGCAAAAUUGUGCAAGACCAUUGUCAACUUCAUUACACAGACCACCCUGCAGAUCCUGCUGCCGGCCCUGGCCCGCAUUCUAGGGGUGACGGGCUUUUAUGACAACGCUGACUCACUCAAGAGGGGCGGCAGUGCAAGAUCCUUCACUGCCUUUGAGCAGAAAAGACUGGAGCUCAUCCAGGAAGUUAAAUAUUUGGCGAAGGAGAUGUGUAACUGUGGCGGCAAGGCUCUCCAACCAAGGUCUAGCACACCCUCUUCCAAGAGUUCCCAGACCUCACUGAAAGUCCACCUGGGAAUGCCAGAGGACAGUAUCAUCAGCAGUGUCCAGGAGCAACUGUCAAAAUCUGACCAAAUGGUGGCUGCAGGACAGCUUUCACAAAUAGAUAAAGUGGUUGGAACUAUGCUGGAGAACAUUGAGAAGAUAAGCAGCAAAUGUGGCGAGGAAUUGGUCUAUCAAGAGUCACUGCGGUCUUCCUCCUCGUUGUCAUUCUCAACUGCCAAAUCACAGAAGACAGAGUGGGAAUUUGCACUCCCAUUCCUUCUGAGUUACCCGAGAGUACUGCUCAGCCCAUUGUAAGAUGCUCAGUCAUUGACAUGAGCGAAUCUACUAAGCCAAAAACAAUGGUGUGUGAUGCCAGAACAAGCAUGUUUGCCAUAGCCGAUACCAUCAUGAAGAAGGUAUAUCCAGAGGCAGAAGGGCAGGUUACAUCUCACCCUGAUCUAACAGAUGCAAUAGCUAGACUGGAGGAGCUCAUAUAUCAGGGUAGGAUUGGUGCUCUCUCCCGUGAUCUCAGUCACCAAGUGAACCGCAUAAUUUCCGAUAGCAACUUGACCCCUCUGGGACUGACAGUGGUGGCUGGAAAGAGUGCAUCUGAUACCAUCCUUUCGAAGCUGAAGAGGAAUAACAAGGUGUGGAAGCCCACAACUUACGAGCUGGUUCAGCUGUUUGUAGAGGAGUCUGUUAAGUGCCUCCUGCUUCCUAGUUUUGUGCCCUAUUCAACUUCAAUGAGUUUGGCUCAGGGGGCCAAGGUGUUGGCUAGAGUGUCUGAAGAUAGAAUUUCAUGCUCUUCUUCUUCAUCAGUAUUUAGUGACACAGUCAGUCUCUUUACCAAAGUUAUGGUAAGCCAGGUCAUGUACUCUGUGGAUUCUGAUGCAGAAAGUAGAGGAUCCUCUCCAACUGAAUCUCUCCAAACAUCUGAAACCACUAUAUCUGAUGUAGGCAAUCUAUUGAGUGGCAAGUCCUCCCCUGGGCUGUCUCCUUCUGGCGCCAUUAUGGCAACAAGCGAGACCUCCAAUGCAGCACAAAUCUUGAAGGCCAACAUUGAUGGAGAGGAAGUGGAUACCACCAGUCAUUCUGGUGUAGCUCAAAACAUUGUCAGGGACGAUAUGUCAACCAGCCCAGACAUGGUCAAAGAUGUCACACUUCCAACCCCAUCCUCUGAUAACUUGGGCAGUGAUGAUGACUUCACCGGCCUCAUCAGCAUGUUAGUAAUGAGAAUUCUAACAGAAAUCCAAACCCCAGCAGAAGAUUACCCAGUUGACGUCACACGCAAGUCACAAGACCUGAUCCCUAAAGUUAUGGAGGUCUUCUGUGCAUGGUCAGGCUGCUCUGAGACACAAGCCUAUCCAGAGAACUUGAGGAUUCAUAAAGUCUACAGAGUCGUCUAUAAAAAUCUGUUGGAGGAGUUUGGCUCGGAGAAAAUCCUCCAACAGGCCGUGUCGACUCAGGACUCUUCAUUUGAUAGGAUUCUUGUCAAGUCUUUGAGUGAAGCGCUUCUCCACAGAUGUAAUGAGGCAUUGAGGGCAGCCUCAAGAACAUCAGUCAAAACCACCGGGCCUAAGGCUCUUCCACUGGCUGAGGAUGUGAGGGCUAGCAGCGGGAAACUAUCUUUUCUACAAAGGCUGGUCAGGCUGACAAGCAACUUAAAGCUAUUCAAGAAGGGGAACAAGAAGGAUUCCCACCGCUCUGAAUCAGAACAAGUACAGACCACUGCUGAAGAUGGCAUGCUGCCCAGCAUAGUGCCACAUGCUGCCAUGUCUGCACUGCCAAAGGAUCUCCCCGCCAGCUCCCAACAGGAGACGCCUCACAAACGUCCACUUCUCGUCAGAAUGUUUUCUGCCAUCUCCAAAGGCCUGUUCAAGCCCUUCAAACAGUCCUUAAAGACCAAGUAA
ensembl:lncRNA